GAUGAACGCUGGCGGCGUGCCUAAUACAUGCAAGUCGAACGAGUUCUCGUUGAUGAUUGGUGCUUGCACCGAGAUUCAACAUGGAACGAGUGGCGGACGGGUGAGUAACACGUGGGUGACCUGCCCUUAAGUGGGGGAUAACAUUUGGAAACAGAUGCUAAUACCGCAUAGAUCCAAGAAUCGCAUAGUUCUUGGCUGAAAGAUGGCGUAAGCUAUCGCUUUUGGAUGGACCCGCGGCGUAUUAGCUAGUUGGUGAGGUAAUGGCUCACCAAGGCGAUGAUACGUAGCCGAACUGAGAGGUUGAUCGGCCACAUUGGGACUGAGACACGGCCCAAACUCCUACGGGAGGCAGCAGUAGGGAAUCUUCCACAAUGGACGCAAGUCUGAUGGAGCAACGCCGCGUGAGUGAAGAAGGCUUUCGGGUCGUAAAACUCUGUUGUUGGAGAAGAAUGGUCGGCAGAGUAACUGUUGUCGGCGUGACGGUAUCCAACCAGAAAGCCACGGCUAACUACGUGCUAGCAGCCGCGGUAAUACGUAGGUGGCAAGCGUUAUCCGGAUUUAUUGGGCGUAAAGCGAGCGCAGGCGGUUUUUUAAGUCUGAUGUGAAAGCCCUCGGCUUAACCGAGGAAGCGCAUCGGAAACUGGGAAACUUGAGUGCAGAAGAGGACAGUGGAACUCCAUGUGUAGCGGUGAAAUGCGUAGAUAUAUGGAAGAACACCAGUGGCGAAGGCGGCUGUCUGGUCUGUAACUGACGCUGAGGCUCGAAAGCAUGGGUAGCGAACAGGAUUAGAUACCCUGGUAGUCCAUGCCGUAAACGAUGAAUGCUAGGUGUUGGAGGGUUUCCGCCCUUCAGUGCCGCAGCUAACGCAUUAAGCAUUCCGCCUGGGGAGUACGACCGCAAGGUUGAAACUCAAAGGAAUUGACGGGGGCCCGCACAAGCGGUGGAGCAUGUGGUUUAAUUCGAAGCAACGCGAAGAACCUUACCAGGUCUUGACAUCUUUUGAUCACCUGAGAGAUCAGGUUUCCCCUUCGGGGGCAAAAUGACAGGUGGUGCAUGGUUGUCGUCAGCUCGUGUCGUGAGAUGUUGGGUUAAGUCCCGCAACGAGCGUAACCCUUAUGACUAGUUGCCAGCAUUUAGUUGGGCACUCUAGUAAGGCUGCCGGUGACAAACCGGAGGAAGGUGGGGAUGACGUCAAAUCAUCAUGCCCCUUAUGACCUGGGCUACACACGUGCUACAAUGGAUGGUACAACGAGUUGCGAGACCGCGAGGUCAAGCUAAUCUCUUAAAGCCAUUCUCAGUUCGGACUGUAGGCUGCAACUCGCCUACACGAAGUCGGAAUCGCUAGUAAUCGCGGAUCAGCACGCCGCGGUGAAUACGUUCCCGGGCCUUGUACACACCGCCCGUCACACCAUGAGAGUUUGUAACACCCGAAGCCGGUGGCGUAACCCUUUUAGGGAGCGAGCCGUCUAAGGUGGGACAAAUGAUUAGGGUG
rnacentral:rRNA from 2 species